ACGUUGUGUACUGAAAGUCGUCAAGGCGUCUUAUCUUCAUACUGACUGAACUGUCUGGAGACGUCAGCCAUCGAAAGUCCACACAACAUUGUCUUACAACUCUCACCACUGAGAUAUGGACCACUGUUCUGCACAAACUGACCAGUCUCAUCAUAUCAUCCAUUAACAUCGUUUCCCGUACGCAACCUCAUGAAAGAAUCUCAAGAUCGUCUUCCGUGCGUUCUGAAACUGUGCACUUAUAUCACUCAACAACAUAGCACUACUAUUGAAGAAGCACGGAUGCGUUAAUGAGAGAUACUGCAAUACUGGAGCACAUUCGCAAGCAGUCCCAGUACGAAGGGGCACUGAUGCUUUAUGGUACAGCGCAAACACAAAGGAAAUGGCUAUCUCAAGAGAGAAAGAUGGCGUUAAAGAACCCAUGGGUGAACAGGAGGAUACAGAGGAUCUCCCCAUAGACAGGGGAUGGGCGUGGUUUGUGUUAGCAGGAUCUUUCUUGAACAUUGUGCUUAUGGUCGGUUACAUCAAGUCUCUAAGUAUCCUGUUUGUGGAAUACCUGCGCCUGUUCGAGGCAUCUGUGACGACGACCACCCUCAUCAUGGGGGUCACGGCCGGGGUCUUCAGUAUAUCAGCUUUGUUCAGUAUGCACUUUGUGCUUGAGAAACUGGGCAUUCGAAAGACGGUGAUGCUGGGAGCGGCCAUCACUUCAGUGGCUAUGCUGGCAGCGGUCUUCGCUCCAAACCUCACGUUUCUCAUCUGUGUACACUGUGUUCUGACAGGUAUAGGGAAUUCAAUGAUCAACGGACCUGGCAUAGUCGUUAUCGGACGAUAUUUCAAGAAGCGCCGCGGAUUAGCCACUGCUAUUUCAAUGUCUGGAAUAAGCAUUGCGUCCGGGGUAUUCCCGAUGGUUGUAAGACUCCUACUUGAUGAGUACGGCAUCCGCGGCACCAUGCUGAUAUGUACAGGGCUGACGAUGAACAUGUUCGUAGGAGCAACUCUAUUCAGGCCAAUCGAGUCCUUCAAAAAGAAGAAACGUCCUAUACUGGACGUUGAGGAAAAUGGAAAUCCGGACAGCAUUAAUAAACACCCUUCCACCGAUAGACAAAACGGAAAUGCCAAAUCAGAUCUGAAGGUUAAACAAAAAGAUAAAUUGACCGGGAAUGUGGAUAAAAGACAUAAAGUGUUUGAGGACGGUUUGGAAACUCCACUGUCUUGCUCUGCUGAUUCACACAAGGACACCCCACUGUCCCCUUUGGCACGUCCUCGAACAGUUUCUAAUGCAAGUCGAACAAUUUCGGAAUCUGAGAAAAGAAUGUUUACGAGUGAUCCGGAGUUAUUAUCGAUUUCAAUUUUAGACUUAGCUCACGCAGGAAAAGACGAGUUCCGAGCAAAAACAUCUUCCUUUGGGGAGGAAAAAUCCAAAUGUUGUAAAAGUAACAUUUUAGACCUGUCCUUGAUAAAAAUGCCGAUGUUUCAACUUUUUGCCAUUACUUCUGUUUUUGGGAUAUGCAUUAACCUGACAGUAAACUAUAUACCUGCUUUCGCCAACGAGAACCACAUAAACAAGACUGACUCUGCUCUGUUACUAUUGAUAAUGGGAUCUACAGAUUUCUUCUGCCGGAUAAUUCUUGGUGUUUUGGUUGAUUUAAAGUUGCUAAAAGUGAACCAAAUAAUGGCAAUCGGUUUGAUUCUUUCUGGCACCAUGGCCCAGUUCACCUUCUUUUUCACAACGUAUCCUCUGAUGAUCAUGUUUUCUAUAUUCCACGGAAUUUUUGGAAGCUCGUACCAAAGCCUUGUGCCAAUUCUGAUAGUGGAUUAUAUGGGCUUGGAGUACAUGGGGAAGACGCUUGGUUUCUCGUCCAUGCUUCAUGGGAUGUCCAUUGCGAUGACGCAUCCAAUUCUGGGCAGCAUCAAGGAGGCCAGUGGCACCUACAGCUACUGCUACACCUACCUUGGAUGCUCCGCCUAUGUAGCAGCCGGCCUCCUGCUAGUCGGAGAACCAUUGGUUAGGAGGAAGGUCAAGGCCAAAGAGAUAGGAAACGAGGGGGAUAAAGAAUCAAACGCUCCCUUAAAGGAUACCACAUAACAUAUUCCAUGUUCAUAUCCUUGACAAUGGUCUACUUUCAAUUUCUGACAAAACGAACAUUGAUUCUAAAGGGUAUGUAUCUGCAGAGGAAUCUUUAGAUUUGGGCAGCAUUCCAGACUGAAAUCACUUGCUUUGAACAUUCGAGGUGCAAGUGAUAGGCUUUAGAUAUUGUACUCAUGUGGGACAUCAAAUUCGGAUCUUCGGCGUUAUGAGCCAAAGGUGAACUCUGUAGUUAUUGUACGAAACGUUAACUUUAAUUAGCUUACGUUUCGUAUUGUUUUCUAGCAAUUUACGAAACUUUUAUUUCACUCUUACUCUGUAUUGUGUGGUAUCACCGAUAUCAUUGGUACAAUAGUCAGAAGUAUCAUUGUACCCCGGUACAGAAUAUUGUAAGAUGUAUGUCAUUAUAAUUAUUGUAAAUUUUGUGUAAACAUUUAUGAUUCAAAUGUUGUUUGCCGCUGUUACAAGUACUAAUGCCGUUGGUUUAGCAGAAAAUACUUCAUUGCCUGACAUUACUGGAAAGGCGCCGUUUUGACAUUAGGAAGAAGGAAUGAACCUACCGUCCUAUGAAACUACCCAUGAACUCUAUCUUGAAACAGUAAAUAACAAGUAGCUAUAGGUAGGUAGGUAGGCAAUAAGCAAUGGGCUAUUGAGAACAUGUACUAAACAAACAAUCGGAACAAUUACUUACACCAAGAUAUACUGAAUUCGAAUUCAAACGAUUUGGAAUUUAUGUUUAUGGGAUAGAACAUGUCAUUGAUCCAUUCAAACUGUAUGUCAGAAUUUUCAUCCAAGGGACGGCACAAUGGUACAUGUACAUGGCUCGUCGCUCUGAUGUUGUUCCAACUUCUUUGGUCACAGUUAAAACUGUCGUGAUAUGGUUUCGCACUUAUUUAGCUGAAUCCCGAUGCCCGUCCGCGUUUCCUACAGUCCAGGUUAGAGCGAGACUUAAGGAACAAAUUUCCAAAAAUACGCCAAACAAGAUACUUUUUUCUGCAUGGAGGUCCGUAAUUGUUCCUUUAGUACCUUCAUGUUGUUUCACGUUGGGUAUCUCCACACAGUCGUUAUUUUAAAUUUCAACAAAUUAUAGGACCAAACCGGUACUAUAUCCUGUGUGGUAUUAAUAUUAAUGCUUCUUUCUCGAUCGUUAACCCAUGGCAAGGUGGAUGUCAAGUACACUACUGUUCACAACUAACCUGCUUAUCGAAGAACCUGUACGUUUGCAGAAUGAACACUUGUUUGCGGAAUUACUCUGGGACGUUUGCGGAAUUAUCGCGGUAUAUUUGCGGAAUUAUAGCGGUACGGUUUAUAUAUUUCUGCAUUCCGCAGACUGUUACGCAGUGUCUCAUUUUGGAUAGACGUCAGUACACUUUAAAUGUUUUGUUUAAUAAAGUUUGUUCUUGAACUGAUGUGUGACAUUUAAAUAAACAGACGCCAAAGUACUGAAUAUAGUUCAGAACAAAUUGUACAGUGUACUGUUAUAUUUGCAUGUUAUUGUCAUAUGAUUAAGAAAUGUUUAUUAAACUUCAAAAUUAGGUUUG
rnacentral:misc_RNA from 1 species